UAGUCAUUGCAAAUUUAAUUAAAAUCGUAAUCUAGUUCAUUAAGAACUUUACUUAAGCUUUUGGUGCAUUGGGCCCAUGUUGGCAAAUUUUAUGUUAGGCCCAAACUUUGAGGGACAUGUGGCACUUAACCUAGGGUUUCUUAGAGGUGGACCCCACCAUUUUUGAGUGUUUUGGACAGCAUUUUGAGCCAAUUGCUGAGACACUCCAAGCACACACUUGACACUACACUUUCAUUUUAGCUUUGCGUUGUAUGAACUCUCUCUUGGAGCCUUGGUGUGCUAUUUUCGUUUCUUCAACCAUGAAUGAACAAGAUCAUGUUUUGCUUCUUCUAUUUUUUGCAACAAUGCUUGUUCUUGCUUGAUGGAAUGAAGCUCUACCAUUUCUCUCUUUAGAUUUUCGUUUUGAAGGAUGAAUGCUUGAGUUUGAAGCUUCUUCUUUGCUUUUUCAUGGUGGUUUCUUUGGUGGAAGGGAUACCCAUUGUCCAUUUUGGUUUCCUCCUCAUUUUGCUGCGGUAAUCUCGUUUUUAUUUUGUGUUUCUUGGAUUGGAGGAUGAAAAUGGAGUUGUUGUCAAGUUUGGUAGUGAAAAAGGCUUAAGUUGGUGCAUGAGUAUUGUAUUCUUGAGCCAUUUUCUUCUAGCAUUUUGUUCUUGAUGUUUGGAAGCCUAUUUUGAGCUGGACUUUGUGAUUGAUGAUGGUGGCUGGACGGUAAUGCAAGGGAAGCUAGAGGUUUGGUUUUGCUUUGGUCAAAAAGUUGAAGAAAAGUAAGUGGUGAAGUUGGAUUUAUGAAGGUAGAACUUGGUUUUGUUAUGCUUGUGUUAAUUUGGAAUUGAAACUUGGGUUUCUUUGUCUGUGUUCUCGGUAUGGAGAGGGGAAGGAACAAUUUGAAUGUUUGCUUGUUGAAGAAAAACGAAAAUGGAGUGGAGAAGGAAGAGAGAAGGUGCAAUUAAUUUUUUACCCGAUUUGGCCAAACACAUGAGAUGCUACUUUUGACUAAGGGAAUGUUUCCUAUUUAAGUUUUGUCUUGCUAUCACUUGAAAUUGCCGUGAGUGGCUUUGGAGAUGGGAGGUUAUUGNGAUUGUUUUUCUUUGCUUUGACUUUGCACACUUGGCACCUUGGGAGAAGCAUUCAAGAAAUUCCAUUUUGUUGGUCUUUGGGGCAUUUUUCACGUUACCUUGCAUUGGUUNNN
rnacentral:lncRNA from 1 species